GUGAGGAAUAUUGCGCAAUGGAGGCAACUCUGACGCAGCCAUGCCGCGUGCAGGAAGAAGGCGCUACGCGUUGUAAACUGCUUUUAACCGGGAAGAAACCCCAGGACGUGUCCUGGGUUGACGGUACCGGAGGAAUAAGCACCGGCUAACUUCGUGCCAGCAGCCGCGGUAAUACGAAGGGUGCAAGCGUUAUCCGGAUUCAUUGGGUUUAAAGGGUGCGUAGGCGGAGCGUUAAGUCAGUGGUGAAAUCCUGCAGCUUAACUGUAGACUUGCCAGUGAUACUGGCGCUCUUGAGUGCGCUUGAAGUGGGCGGAAUGUGACGUGUAGCGGUGAAAUGCUUAGAUAUGGCACAGAACACCAAUUGCGAAGGCAGCUCACUAAGGCGAUACUGACGCUGAGGCACGAAAGCGUGGGGAUCGAACAGGAUUAGAUACCCGGGUAGUCC
rnacentral:rRNA from 1 species